ACUUCCUGUUGAAGAACCUCAUGUUGUCGGGUAGUUAAUUCUCUCCCUCGCUGCUCUCUGAAUAGUAAAGACGUUGGUCAUGUUGUCUCGUGUUUUUCUCCCUCGUGUAGUUUCAUCGUCACAACAGGCUGAACAAACGAACGCCGUGGCGUUUUGUCAUUAUUUGCAAGAGCAGGAAAUGAUGAGAGCGGAGACACAGCUGGACAGCAAGGCGCUGUUUAGCGGACUAAAGACCUGGAACAGGCCAAACUUCCGGUCGUAGACUCCCAACUCCAAGACGCCAUGAUGGCGCUGAUGCCAUGUGGAAGUGAAGCUUGUUGACCACAGAAGCUGGUUAAAAUGCGCCAAUUUCAAAGUAGUCGCAGGACGGGCUCUCUCCAGCAUAUGAAGUGAUGGACCGAGUUGAUAAAUCCAGUGAUGAUCGUGUAUAGUGUUGCGUGACCAAGAAUGAGGCUAUUGAAAGUGGUUGUUGCAGUGACGUCACAUCUGGUCAGUUUGUGAUUUUUUUUUCUUCCACGUUACAAAGACAAUCAACCUCCAGAAUGGGCCUGACCUCCAGCUGUUCGUCAAGACUUGAUGAAUGUGGUGCAAUUUAUAAACUGACUAUGGCCUUAAAUAUAAUAAGUUUCCCAAUCAUUUUGUAAUGUUACUCUAAAAAUGUCUGUGCUGUUUAAUGGUUUAAUCCACUUUGUGAUAUGAAUAGGCUAUUUUGUUGAGCCACAUUUGUGGUUUUCACUUAUUGAAAUGACUGAAUGCUGUUUUACAAUGUACUGCUGUACUACCAAUUGUGUUUAUCAGCAGGUGAAUAAACAUUUGCUCGGUA